AUGGUCAUUGAGGCUAAACGAGAGCUCCAGGAGGCCGUGAAGAAAAACGAUACCUUGGAAGAGGGUCUAGUAGGGAAAGAACUCGAACUUGCCAAAGCUCUCCAAGCCGCAAAUGAUACUCGGGAGGAAGCCCGAGGUGCUCUGAAGGACAUUCAGGAGGCAAGGAGGAUUGCGGCUGGAGCGUUUGCGGACCUGCCAUGCAGCAUAUCUGAUGCUGCCCAAUUCUACCGGGCUGAAGAGAAGAAGUCUGCGGAGAAGCAUUUCUGGUCGCAGUAUUUGGCGCUGAAUUAUCCGGUGCCCUUUGUCGAUCAGCUGAAGCAGCUGAUCGAACUGCACCAGGCGGCCAAACUAGCCAUGAAGGACUUAGUUGUCCGGCUGUGGCCCGCUGAGCCAAUUCCAAGCAGUUACUUCGGACUCGUGAAGCGGAUUGUUGGUGCUUGCCCUCGGCUUGAAGUAAUUAAGCGGUCAGUCUGUAUAGAAGGUGCACGCAUGGCAUUUGCCCGUGCGAAGGUGCACUGGGGGAAGCUUGAUGCUGAAAAGUUGAUGACUGAGGGACGACCGGAGGGUAAGGAGCACCGCAAGCCUGAAUUAUAUUAUAAUGGUGUCCUGAAAGGAGCCCGCCUUGUGGCGGAACAAUGUACCAAAGACACUAUAUUUCCCUGA
rnacentral:rRNA from 1 species